rnacentral:lncRNA from 1 species
AGAGGGGAAGUGAAUGACCAACUGGGUAGGCUGAUGAAUAUUUUCCUGGUAAAUGCAUAACUUUCCCCACAACUGUGAUGCUUUAUCCUUUGACAUUAAGAAUGCUGUUUGCAGAAGUAACAUUCCUUUGAACACUCAGCUUUCUGAAAUGGUGUCCCACCACAAGGACUGGAGAAGGGUAAACCUCAGGUUCUCCUCCUGCCUUUUGCUAAGUAUAUGUCUUGAUGACAAGCCUUCUGCUAAUGAGCUGUGUUUCUGGACCGAUCAUGGUAGAAGUCAAUUGAAGUGUCCCUCACUUGGGGUUUCUUAAGGACAAGGUCUCACUAUGUUGCCCAGACUAGUCUCCAACUCCUGGCCUCAAGUGAUGACCCUGUCUCAGCCUCCCAAAGUGCUGGGAUUAAAGCUGCACUGAUGAGGAAACUGAAACAGAAAAUCCAGAGUAAAUUCCACCAGGCCACACAGCAAGGUCUGAUAGAGCCAGGAGAGACUUUAUGAAAUCCAGACUCUCACACUAAUGCUCUAUCAGCUAGACCUCCAUGUGAGUCUCCCCAAUGUAGGUAGGAAGCACUUUCCCUAAAAUGCUCAUAAAGCAAAUCAGAGCAAUGCUUCAUUUCAUGUGAUUUCUAAUUUGAAAUGCAAACAAUUGCCAAUUUGUUUGACUUGUAUUUAUAAUUAUUUCCUUGUGAAUUACUCAUCACUAAAUGCUUUA